CGAGCGUACGUGGAAAAAACUUUUAAGCGGGACGAAACCAAGAAUAUCACCUUGCUUUAAUAGUAGGUAUAGAUGCAGAAGCUUAAGGUCAUCUUACAGAGAUCAGCGGUGAAAGAAAGAUGCUCACCAGAUUGUCCAUGUGAGUCCUCGGGCUGGAGAGUCCAAACUAUCUCCUUGACUGCUCUCGAAGAAGUGGAGAUCAACGGCUUUGAAGGAGACAAUCAUGAGCUUGAUUUCUUGAAACUGGUACUCAGAUGUGCGCCAAUGCUUAAAAGAAUGAUUGUGAAGCUGUCAGAUAAGGCCUCAGCAAGUAGCUAUAGACGCACAAAACUAUACAACAUCUUCAGGGCCAAUUAACCUGUGGAAUUCUAUGUCUAUCUUAGCUCCGGGUUAAUGCAUGGUAGCCAAAAUCGCCUGUCUACAUGAUUCUCACCCAUACAUCUGUGGACAUGUGUUGUGCAUCAACAAAACCGUUCUUUCCUGCAAUGGCCAACUCUGUUACCUGUGUUAGGAUUUUGCUUUGUUGCUUCAACCGAUUAUCUUAGGUGUUGUUUUGCCAGUGUACUGAAGCUUUAUAUGUGUCUAUAAGUGGUACACUCUUAGUUAAUUUCUGAAUGGCUCCUAUGCCAUUCAGUAAUCAAAGUUAAUGCACUCAACCUGUGUCAGUUAUGUUCUGCAAGCUAGUAACCAGUUAAGCUUAUGGUUUCAA